ACGAACGCUGGCGGCGUGCUUAACACAUGCCAGUCGAACGGAAAGGCCCUGCUUUUGUGGGGUGCUCGAGUGGCGAACGGGUGAGUAACACGUGAGUAACCUGCCCUUGACUUUGGGAUAACUUCAGGAAACUGGGGCUAAUACCGGAUAGGAGCUCCUGCUGCAUGGUGGGGAUUGGAAAGUUUCGGCGGUUGGGGAUGGACUCGCGGCUUAUCAGCUUGUUGGUGGGGUAGUGGCUUACCAAGGCUUUGACGGGUAGCCGGCCUGAGAGGGUGACCGGCCACAUUGGGACUGAGAUACGGCCCAGACUCCUACGGGAGGCAGCAGUGGGGAAUAUUGCACAAUGGGCGGAAGCCUGAUGCAGCAACGCCGCGUGCGGGGUGACGGCCUUCGGGUUGUAAACCGCUUUCGCCUGUGACGAAGCGUGAGUGACGGUAAUGGGUAAAGAAGCACCGGCUAACUACGUG
rnacentral:rRNA from 1 species